rnacentral:lncRNA from 1 species
AGCUGAAGCUCAUACUAAUUUACUUACAUUCACAACGAUUACAUGUCCGAUGCAGUAACGAUUGAUGUUGGAUACAGUUCGACUCUGGAGCAAUGGCGGUAGAUGAUGAUCCAUUCCCCGAGACCAGCCCUGGUAGAGGACCUACAGGGCAAUGCUCGUACGAUCAAGACCAGGGUUCUGACGGCUAUGAAUCCACAGAUGUACGAACUAAAAUCGAAAUAAAUACUGAGGAUUUUCACACUAUUUCAUAGUACUGUUUGUUAGCUUCCUAUUCAUACACAUGCUACUCCUGAAAUUUGUAGGAAGAAGAGUGUGAUUAAUCUUCACAUGGCGGACGUUCAGCGGGAGAUGGGCGAGGGCACGCCCUUCAC